GGAGAUCUAGGGUCACUUUGUCUAAUGCCUCUUUUAGCUUUGAAUGGUUUAGUUAGGCCUCCAUUCAGAACCAGGGAGUAGGAUACAGUAGUCACACAAGCCAUUAUCCAUUGAGUAAACUUAGCAUGGAAUCCUAUGCCAAGUAGGAUUUGUUCAAGGAAUCUCCAUUCCAAUGUAUCAUAUGUCUUCCUCAGGUCCACCUUUAAGACACACCUAGGUGAUAUUGCUUUCCUAGAAUACCU
rnacentral:lncRNA from 1 species